rnacentral:rRNA from 1 species
UGCUUAGUUACAAAUUAAAAUUACAAUCUAAUCCGCCAGAAUACUACGAGCAAACGCUUAAAACUCAAAGGACUUGGCGGCGCCCAAAAUCCCCCCAGAGGAGCCUGUUCUAUAAUCGAUAACCCCCGCUUAACCUCACCACCCUUUGCAUUUGCAGUCUAUAUACCUCCGUCUACAACUCACCCUAUUGAAGGAUAACCAGUGGGUAAAAUUAACUAAUUAAAAACGUCAGGUCAAGGUGUAACAUAUAGAGUGGAAAGAAAUGGGCUACAUUCCCUUAUCAAGUGAAUACGGACACACUAAUGAAAAACCUGUUAGAAGGCGGAUUUGGUAGUAAAAAGAAACAAGCGAGUUCUUUUUAAAAUGGCCCUUGGGCGCGC